rnacentral:rRNA from 1 species
GACGAACGCUGGCGGCGUGCUUAACACAUGCAAGUCGAACGGAAAGGCCCUGCUUUUGUGGGGUGCUUGAGUGGCGAACGGGUGAGUAACACGUGAGUAACCUGCCCUUGACUUUGGGUUAACUUCAGGAAACUGGGGCUAAUACCCGAUAUGAGCUCCUGCUGCAUGGUGGGGGUUGGAACGUUUCGGCGGUUGGGGAUGGACUCGCGGCUUAUCAGCUUGUUGGUGGGGUAGUUGCUUACCAAGGGUUUGACGGGUAGCCGGCCUGGGAGGGUGACCGGCCACAAUGGGACUGAGGUACGGCCCAGACUCCUACGGGAGGCAGCAGUGGGAAAUAUUACACAGUGAGCGGAAGCCUGAUGCAGCAACGCCGCGUGCGGGAUGACGGCCUUCGGGUUGUAAACCGCUUUCGCCUGUGACGAAGCGUGAGUGACGGUAAUGGGUAAAGAAGCACCCGCUAACUACGUG